rnacentral:rRNA from 1 species
GCUCAACCGAGGAAGUGCUUCGAAAACUGGUAAACUUGAGUGCAGAAGAGGAAAGUGGAACUCCAUGUGUAGCGGUGGAAUGCGUAGAUAUAUGGAAGAACACCAGUGGCGAAGGCGGCUUUCUGGUCUGUAACUGACGCUGAGAUUCGAAAGCAUGGGUAGCAAACAGGAUUAGAUACCCUGGUAGUCCAUGCCGUAAACGAUGAGUGCUAAGUGUUGGAGGGUUUCCGCCCUUCAGUGCUGCAGCUAACGCAUUAAGCACUCCGCCUGGGGAGUACGAUUGCAAGAUUGAAACUCAAAGGAAUUGACGGGGGCCCGCACAAGCGGUGGAGCAUGUGGUUUAAUUCGAAGCAACGCGAAGAACCUUACCAGGUCUUGACAUACCAUGAAAAGCUAAGAGAUUAGUCUUUCCCUUCGGGGACAUGGAUACAGGUGGUGCAUGGUUGUCGUCAGCUCGUGUCGUGAGAUGUUGGGUUAAGUCCCGCAACGAGCGCAACCCUUAUUAUCAGUUGCCAGCAUUCAGUUGGGCACUCUGGUGAGACUGCCGGUGACAAACCGGAGGAAGGUGGGGACGACGUCAAAUCAUCAUGCCCCUUAUGACCUGGGCUACACACGUGCUACAAUGGCGUAUACAACG